UCGUGCAAGAAAUUUAAUCUGCCUUCAACACCUUUGUAGUGAUUAAAUUCUCACCCCCUUAGGAAACAAAUAGUGCGUUUCGCGCGUACUCCGAAAGGGAAUCAGGUUAAAAUUCUUGAACCGGGACGUGGCGGUUGACGGUAACGUUAGGAAGUCCAGAGAUGUCGGUGGGAGCCUCGAGAAGAGUUAUCUUUUCUAUGUAACAGCCUGCCCACCCUGGAAUCGGCUCAGCCGAAGGUAGGGUCCAGCGACUGGAAGAGCACCGCACGUCGCCUGGUGUCCGGUGCACUCUCGGCAGCCCUUGAAAAUCCGGAGGACCGAAUGUCGUCCAUGGCCGGUCGUACUCAUAACUGCAUCAGGUCUCCAAGGUGAACAACCUCA
rfam:Solanum tuberosum cultivar DM 1-3 516 R44 scf00117_14, whole genome shotgun sequence.